rnacentral:rRNA from 1 species
GAUGAACGCUGGCGGCGUGCCUAAUACAUGCAAGUCGAGCGAACAGACGAGGAGCUUGCUCCUCUGACGUUAGCGGCGGACGGGUGAGUAACACGUGGAUAACCUACCUAUAAGACUGGGAUAACUUCGGGAAACCGGAGCUAAUACCGGAUAAUAUAUUGAACCGCAUGGUUCAAUAGUGAAAGACGGUUUUGCUGUCACUUAUAGAUGGAUCCGCGCCGCAUUAGCUAGUUGGUAAGGUAACGGCUCACCAAGGCAACGAUGCGUAGCCGACCUGAGAGGGUGAUCGGCCACACUGGAACUGAGACACGGUCCAGACUCCUACGGGAGGCAGCAGUAGGGAAUCUUCCGCAAUGGGCGAAAGCCUGACGGAGCAACGCCGCGUGAGUGAUGAAAGUCUUCGGAUCGUAAAACUCUGUUAUUAGGGAAGAACAAAUGUGUAAGUAACUAUGCACGUCUUGACGGUACCUAAUCAGAAAGCCACGGCUAACUACGUG